rnacentral:rRNA from 1 species
GAGGUUGGCCGGCCACACUGGAACUGAGACACGGUCCAGACUCCUACGGGAGGCAGCAGUGGGGAAUCUUGCACAAUGGACGAAAGUCUGAUGCAGCAACGCCGCGUGGGGGAUGAAGCUUCUCGGAGUGUAAACCCCUUUCGACCCGGAAGAAUGCCCGCAAGGGUUUGACGGUACGGGUAUAAGAAGCCCCGGCUAACUACGUGCCAGCAGCCGCGGUAAUACGUAGGGGGCCAGCGUUGCUCGGAAUUACUGGGCGUAAAGGGUCUGUAGGCGGUGCGGCAAGUCGAUAGUGAAAUCCCUAGGCUUAACCUAGGGGCUGCUAGCGAAACUGCCGUGCUAGAGUGUGAGAGAGGCGAGUGGAAUUACGGGUGUAGCGGUGAAAUGCGUAGAUAUCCGUAGGAACAUCCGAGGCGAAAGCGGUCGCUGGAUCACAACUGACGCUGAGAGACGAAAGCUAAGGGGAGCAAACAGGAUUUAGAUAACCUGGGUAGUCCUUAGGCCUUAAACGGAUGAUCGCGUUUGGUGUGAACGGGUACCCCAAAUCC